rnacentral:rRNA from 1 species
UGAACGCUAGCGACAGGCUUAACACAUGCAAGUCGAGGGGUAACAGGGUAGCAAUACCGCUGACGACCGGCGCACGGGUGAGUAACGCGUAUGCAACCUGCCUAUAACUGGGGAAUAGCUCCCUGAAAGGGGAAUUAACACCGCAUAACACUAUUGAUUCGCAUGGAUUAGUAGUUAAAUGUAGCGAUACAGGUUAUAGAUGGGCAUGCGUGACAUUAGCUAGUUGGUGAGGUAACGGCUCACCAAGGCUACGAUGUCUAGGGGUUCUGAGAGGAAGGUCCCCCACACUGGUACUGAGACACGGACCAGACUCCUACGGGAGGCAGCAGUGAGGAAUAUUGGUCAAUGGGCGCAAGCCUGAACCAGCCAUGUCGCGUGCAGGAAGACUGCCCUAAUGGGUUGUAAACUGCUUUAUAGUAGAAGAAACACAUCUACGAGUAGAUGUCUGCCAGUAUACUAUGAAUAAGCAUCGGCUAACUCCGUGCCAGCAGCCGC